rnacentral:rRNA from 1 species
UACAGAGGUCUCGAGCGUUAGGCGGAAUCACUGGGCUUAAAGGGCGCGUAGGCGGGCUGUCAAGUCUGGGGUGAAAUCCCGCGGCUCAACCGUGGAACUGCCUUAGAUACUGACGGCCUCGAGGGAGGUAGGGGCGAGCGGAACUGUGAGUGGAGCGGUGAAAUGCGUUGAUAUUCACAGGAACUCCGGUGGCGAAGGCGGCUCGCUGGACCUUUUCUGACGCUGAGGCGCGAAAGCUAGGGGAGCAAACGGG